rnacentral:rRNA from 1 species
GACGAACGCUGGCGGCGUGCUUAACACAUGCAAGUCGAACGGAAAGGCCCUGCUUUUGUGGGGUGCUCGAGUGGCGAACGGGUGAGUAACACGUGAGUAACCUGCCCUUGACUUUGGGAUAACUUCAGGAAACUGGGGCUAAUACCGGAUAGGAGCUCCUGCUGCAUGGUGGGGGUUGGAAAGUUUCGGCGGUUGGGGAUGGACUCGCGGCUUAUCAGCUUGUUGGUGGGGUAGUGGCUUACCAAGGCUUUGACGGGUAGCCGGCCUGAGAGGGGGAACGGCCACAUUGGGACUGAGAUACGGACCAGAAGCCUACGGGAGGCAGCAGGGGAGAAUAUUGCACAAUGGGCGGAAGCCUGAUGCAGCAACGCCGCGUGCGGGAUGACGGCCUUCGGGUUGUAAACCGCUUUCGCCUGUGACGAAGCGUGAGUGACGGUAAUGGGUAAAGAAGCACCGGCUAACUACGUG